AUCUUUCUAGAUUUCUAUCUUUCUAGAUAUCUAUCUUUCUAGACGUCUAUCCUUCUAGACAUCUAUCUUUCUAGACGUCUAUCUUUCUAGAUAUCUAUCUUUCUAGACAUCUAUCUUUCUAGACGUCUAUCUUUCUAGACAUCUAUCUUUCUAGAUAUCUAUCUAUCUAGACAUCUAUCUUUUUAGACAUCUACUUAUCUACCUAGACAUCUAUUUAGACAUCUGUCUAUCUUUCUAUACAUCUAUCUAGACAUCUAUCUUUCUAGACAUCUAUCUAUCUAGACAUCUAUUUAGACAUCUGUCUAUCUACCUAGACAUCUAUCUAUCUUUCUAUCUAGACAUAUAUCUUUCUAUUUAUCUGUCUAGACAUAUAUGUAUCUAUCUUUCUAUCCAUCUAUCUAUUUAUCUAUCGAGACAUCUAUCUAUCUAUUUUCUAUCUAUCUAUCUAUCUAUUUAUCUUUCUAGACAUCUAUCUAUCUAGAUAUCUAUCUUUCUAGACAUCUAUUUAUCUAUCUAGACAUCUAUUUAGACAUCUGUCUAUCUUUCUAGACAUCUAUCUACCUAGACAUCUAUCUAUCUUUCUAUCUAGACAUAUAUCUUUCUAUUUAUCUGUCUAGACAUAUAUGUAUCUAUCUUUCUAUCCAUCUAUUUAUCUAUCUAGACAUCUAUUUAGACAUCUGUCUAUCUUUCUAGACAUCUAUCUAUCUAGACAUCUAUCUUUCUAGAUAUCUAUCUAUCUAGACAUCUAUUUAGACAUCUGUCUAUCUAUCUAUACAUCUAUCUAUUUAGCUAUCGAGACAUCUAUCUAUCUAUUUUCUAUCUAUCUAUCUAUCAAAAUAUCUAUCUAAAUAUCUAUCUAUCUAUCUAUCUAAAUAUCUAUCUACGGUAUCUAGACAUCUAUCUUUGUAGACAUCUAUUUAUCUAUCUAGACAUCUAUUUAGACAUCUGUCUAUAUAUCUAGACAUCUAUCUAUCUAUACAUCCAACUAUCUAGACAUCUAUUUAGACAUCGGUCUAUCUAUCUAUUUAUCUAUCGAGACAUCUAUCUAUAUAUCUAGACAUAUAUCAAUCUAUCUAUCUAUCUAUCUUUCUAUCUUGACAUCUAUAUAUCUAUCUAAAUAUCUAUCUAUAUAUCUAAAUAUCUAUCUAUCUAGACAUCCAUCUAGACAUCUAUCUAGACAUUUGUCCAGUAUGAUCUGCCUGCGGUUCUUUCCAGUCCAGUCUUUAAUGCAGAGUAAAUCUGAAUCCGACUUGUGGGACGUCCAACUCUUACUGUAUGUCCCUUCCAGUCAAACUGACUCUUCACACAGCACAAGGGUCCUGUGUUUUCUCUUUCCCAGCCAGACGCUAAAUGAACCAUUCUCUCCGAGCCUUGUGGCCUGGGCUGAGCAGACGGGUGGUCGAUGGCAGCGGUGGGAGCGUUACAUUCGGUGACGGCAUGUUCGGUGGGAAAGCCGCUUGCUGGCACCAGACACUGCUGAAGUGCUCCUGAGCAAGGUCACCAAAGCCCGGUACGGUGCGUACUGUAUGUGUGUGAGUCUGCCUCCAAGAAAAGGAACUGGGAAAGUCGGAGAAGAAAAGAUGGCUUUCCCUGGCUUGUUAUAAAUAAACUCAAUAAAAAUAUCUACUCCUCUUGGAAAGUUAUGGGAGAGAGAGGAGGAGGAGCGGGGCGGCGGUGGGUGGGUGGGGUGACCCUAUAAAAAAAGCUUUUUGGGGGAUUAAAACUAUAUUUAGUUUGAUGAGAGAGUUUCAGGGCUUUUAACACCAUCACACAGCUUUCAUGUCACUCAACUAAAAAUAAGUCAAUAAAUGAACCAAAAUUAAUUUCAAUUGCUCAAAUUAAAGUUAAGUCGGAACGUUUAUUUAAUGAUGAAUAUGAUAUUUGAUGGAAUAAAAAUGAAACAUAUGUCAACAUAAAACGUUUCUAUCAUAAAAAAAAACUUUAAUGCCCCCGUUGUGUUGACACUGUCAACUUUGACGCCCCCUAGUGAUAUUAUGAAGAAGGACACAACAAAACAAUUUAAACUUUUUUUUUUCACUUAUAUAAUGCAGCAUAUUUUCUCUCCACUAUUUUAAAAGUUUAAAAUUUUACAUCGUUGCCCCGAGAAGUUCACGAAAAAAACGGAACAAAUAAUAUAUAUUUUCCACAACUCGAUGCAUCAUAAUUUAUUAAGAGGCACAAAUUAACGACCAUCUGACACAACUGUCAGUGAUUGUGAUGGUCAGUUUAUGAAACCUGCAGCUCCAUGUAUAAAAUGAAUGAAAGUGUGUAUAUACUAUUAGGGAUUAGUGGAGGACAGAGCUAAGCACGUAUCAUACUGUGCUAAAUAACAUUGGCGAUUGGUAAAAGGCCACAUGCAGAUUAGUUUCACUGACCGUCCUUCUGCUGUGACCAGGCCCUUUAAAGCAAAACUAUAACUUUAACCAGAAUAUGUUACCUGUUACUAGGAGAAGAAUAGAAGAAGAAGAUAGAAGAAGAGAACCAGUGGGGAUG
rnacentral:lncRNA from 1 species